rnacentral:rRNA from 1 species
GGGUUGUGAGGUUAAGCGACUAAGCGUACACGGUGGAUGCCCUGGCAGUCAGAGGCGAUGAAGGACGUGCUAAUCUGCGAUAAGCGUCGGUAAGGUGAUAUGAACCGUUAUAACCGGCGAUUUCCGAAUGGGGAAACCCAGUGUGWUUCGWCACACUAUCAUUAACUGAAUCCAUAGGUUAAUGAGGCGAACCGGGGGAACUGAAACAUCUAAGUACCCCGAGGAAAAGAAAUCAACCGAGAUUCCCCCAGUAGCGGCGAGCGAACGGGGAGCAGCCCAGAGCCUGAAUCAGUGUGUGUGUUAGUGGAAGCGUCUGGAAAGGCGYGCGAUACAGGGUGACAGCCCCGUACACAAAAAUGCACAURCUGUGAGCUCGAUGAGUAGGGCGGGACACGUGGUAUCCUGUCUGAAUAUGGGGGGACCAUCCUCCAAGGCUAAAUACUCCUGACUGACCGAUAGUGAACCAGUACCGUGAGGGAAAGGCGAAAAGAA